rnacentral:lncRNA from 1 species
AAAAAUGAAAAGAAUUAACAAAAAAGCAAAGUGAAGUAAACGGAAAUAAAAAGCUUCCAAGGGAAAAGAAUAGCUUACAUCUGUUGAAGAGCCAUUCAUUUUAAUCAUCACAUGCAUUCAUCAUCGAUGUCUAUGAUGGGAAAUUGAGCAAUAUUUGGCCAGUAUUCUCCCUUGUCAAAUUCUAGUAGUGGUGAGAGCAAUGGGCAUUUGGAAAUAUCUAGUUUAGAGAGGGAAGAGGGCAUCCCUUUUACUGGAAGAGAUUGGAGCUUAGGGCAAUUAUAGAUGGUCAGCUGAGAGAGGGAGGAGGGCAGUGCUGAUUCAGGAAGUGAUUGGAGAUUAGGGAAAUUCCUGAUUUCUAGACUUUGAAGCGAAGUGAGGUGCGAAAACUGGCCUUGUUCCAGCAUUGACUGAAUUUGAGGUAAAUUACCCAUAAUACAUAGAUAUUGAAGAGAGGUGAGGCUUUUGAGAUGUUGGCUACUCAAUGUUUUCAGAUAGUAUAUGGUAAGUCUUUGAAUAGAGGAAGGCAACUCCCAAUUCUCACCACCAACAAUCUCUUCGUCACUGCCAUCAUGUUCGAUCACUAAAACGUUGAGACAGGGGAGUCUCUGUAAACGCCACUCCUUUUGGCCGUUCACCAGUUUCUUGCACUCGCUGAUCAAAAGGAGUUGUAAAUUGAAGGGCAAUCCUCCUUCAGGAAAGGACUCUAUUUCUGGACAAUCAAUCAGUUGCAGAUCCUUAAGAGAUGGAAGGAGUUCCUGCAUACGUUCUGGCAGCCACUUCAGCUUCUUACACUUUAAAAUAGUCAAUGACGUCAUCUGGGUCCCCCCACAUGCCACCGAAAGUAUUUCAACAUUCUCACAAUCCCACAUAUCGAGACUUUCAGUGGCAGUAGGAAUCAAAAACCUAGUAAGGUUGUGGCAAUUCACUACAUUCAAUGUGCGUGCUCUUGGGAGCAACUCAGGUGAUAUAUCAUCUAUACAAUCACAUUCUUGCAGACUCAAAACCUCCAGAAACAUCUCACCAACUGGCACCUCCAAUUUCAAUUUCUUGCAACCUCUUAUCUCUAUUAUCUUCAAGGUAGUGGGCAGUAUGCUAAAAGGAAAGGAGGUAAGAGAGUUACAAUCCCUAAUAUCUAAUUCCUCAAUCUCCUUCGUUCCCUCAAGUUGGGAUCUAAACACUUGAGCAUCAUCAAAAACCUUUGGACAACCAAUAACUUGAAACAUUUUUAAACUUGAAAGUUGGAUGGGUGUCUCCAAACUGAGUUCAGGGCAAUUUAUAAUUAAAAGCUUCUCAAGUGUAGCGAACUCUCCACUUCCUAGUACGUGCCAUUGCUUCCACUCCGGCAUAUCUUCAAAUACAAGCUUCUCAAGACAGUUAAAAGGCUUUUUGGAGGACAAACAACCAUAGAAUUCUUCCGUCACCUCUGUUAUUCCAUGCAUCCCUCUAAUCGAAAGGAAUUUCAAACAAGGGAGUUGUCCUAGUGAUGGCAAGGAAGAACAGUUCUUACAGUUAUCAACAGACAACUGUACUAGCUUAAGAAACAAAGGAUCAGCUAGCCAAUUUGGAAAUUGUGUCCCUCUAUAUCCAGUGAUUUCGACUUCUUUUAUGUUUUUAUGUGGGCUAAGCUCAUCAAGUAUGUCUCUUUCAGUUUGUGAAUUGUUGGCACUACUACUUUCACUCCACUCCAGCGAUAACUUGUCAACAUGAUUCUUCUCCCUCAUCUUUGNNNNNNNNNNNNNNNNNNNNNNNNNNNNNNNNNNNNNNNNNNNNNNNNNNNNNNNNNNNNNNNNNNNNNNNNNNNNNNNNNNNNNNNNNNNNNNNNNNNNAUUUGAAGCCAAAUUUAGGGGUCAAUAUAUGUAUUAUCCCUUCUUUUUAUUAGGAAGAUAUAUGUACUUUCUAUCGUAAAAAUGGUGGAUAUUUUUUUAGUGAACACCAAUAGAUUUGAAGGGGAUAAAAUAUGUCAUUUGCAAUACAAAAAUUAUAUGAAAUAUUUUGGGAUAAACGUGCAACGCAUGUUUUUAGAACUAGUGAUUAAAAAUGAAAAUAAUUAACAAAAAAGCAAAGUGAAGUAGACGGAAAUAAAAAGCUUCCAAGGGAAAAGAAUAGCUUACAUCAGUUGAAGAGCCAUCCAUUUUAAUUAUCACAUGCAUUCCCCAUCGAUCUUUAUGGUGGGAAAUUGAACAAUAUUUGGCCAGUAUUCCCCCUUGUCAAAUUUUAGUAGUGGUUUGAGCAAUGGGCAGUUGGAAAUAGAUAGGUCAGAGAGGGAAGAGGGCAUCCCUUUUACUGGAAGGGAUUGGAGAUUAGGGCAAUGCAUGAUGAUCAGCUGAGAGAGGGAGGAGGGCAGUGCUGAUUCAGGAAGUGAUUGGAGAUUAGGGAAAUUCCUGAUUUCUAGACUUUGAAGCGAAGUGAGGUGCCAAAGACCUAGUGAAUGGAGCUCAUGAUGGUCAUAUAAUUCUAGCUCAGAAAGAGAGGUGAGGCUUUUGAGAUGUUGGCUGCUUAAUGUUUUCACAUUGUUUAUUGUAAGUGUUUGAAUAGAGGAAGGCAACUCCCAAUUCUCACCAUCAACAAUCUCUUCGUCACUGCCAUCAUGGUAGAUGCUUAACUGUGUGAGACAGGGGAGUCUCUGUAAAUGCCACUCCUUUCGGCCGUUCACCAGUUUCUUGCACGCGCUGAUCACAAGGAAUUGUAAAUUGAAGGGUAAUCCUCCUUCAGGAAAGGACUCCAUUUCUGGACAAUUAUACAGAUACAGUUCCUUAAGAGAUGGAAGGAGUUCCUGCAUACGUUCUGGCAGCCACUUCAGCUUCCUACAGCCCUGAAUACUCAGUGACGUCAUCUGGGUCUCCCCACAUGCCACCGAAAGUAUUUCAACAUUCUCACAAUUCCAAAUAUGGAGACUUUCAGUGGCAGUAGGAAUCAAAAACCUAGUAAGGUUGUGGCAAUUAGAUACAUUCAACGUGCGUGCUGUUGGGAGAAACUCAGGUGAUAUAUCAUCUAUACAAUCACAUUCUUUCAGUGUCAAAUCCUCAAUAAACAUGUUACAAUAACUCAUCUCACCAACUGGCACCUCCAAUUUCAAUUUCUUGCAACGAGAUAUCCUUAUUGUCUUCAAGGUAGUGGGCAGUAUGCUAAAAGGAAAGGAGGUAACAGAGUUACAAUCCCUAAUAUACAAUUCCUCAAUCUGCCUCAUUCCCUCAAGUUGGGAUCUAAACAGUUGAGCAUCAUCGAAAACAACUCCAACCUUAGAUGAACCAACAACUUUAAACCUUUUUAAACAUGAAAGUUGGAUGGGUGUCUCCAAACUGAGUUCAGGGCAAUUUUUAAUUUUAAGCUGCUCAAGUAUAGGGAACUCUCCACUUCCUAGUACGUGCCAUUGCUUCCACUCCGCCAUAUCUUCAAAUACAAGGUUCUCAAGACAGUUAAAAGGCUUUUUGGACGACAAACAACCAUAGAAUUCUUCUGUCACCUCUGUUAUUCCAUGCAUCCCUCUAAUGGAAAGGAUUUUCAAACAAGGAAGCUGUCCUAGUGCUGGCAAGGAAAAACAGUUCUUGCAGUUAUCAAUAGACAACUGUCCUAGCUUAAGAACAAAGGAUCAGCUAGCCAAUUCGGAAAUAUUGUCCCUCUAUAUCCAGUGAUUUCGACUUCUUUUAUGUUUUUAUGUGGGCGUAGCUCAUCAAGAAUGUCUCUUUCAGUUUUUGAAUUGUCGGCACUACUACUUUCACUCCACUCCAAUGAUAACUUGUCAACAUGAUUCUUCUCCCUCAUCUUUGCCUUCACAGCUUCCCUACCAUCAACCACAUUUUGCAACUCUACAACUGAUACAGAUCCGUGCUUCACCCAAAUCUUCCAUUCUCCAACCACUUAGAAGAAACUUGGCUCCCACUAACACUUGGAGGCUUUUCAACUUGCUCAGAUGUAGGGGCGUCUUCAAGCGCCAAGUGUUGCUUAUGUCAAGAUGACGCAAGUUAAUCAACUUCUCCAUCUGCAGCGGUAGCUCCUUAAGAUCUUCACAAGAUGACAGAAGAAGUGUCUCUAAGUUAUACAACACACAAAUGGAAUCUGGCAACCUUUUAAUCUCUGUCUGAGAAACAUCCAAAAAUCUGAGGAGCUUUAAUUUGAUAAACAAGUCAUUUGGCAACUCCUUAUUCUUGUAAUGAGACAAUGAUAGUACCCUCAAGGAUCUUAGUCUAGGCAGUAUGUUAAGCUGCACCCUCUUGCUUAGAGGGUGAUAACAAUUAUUGACACUAAUACAUGUCGGAAGCAAUGUCCUCAGCUGCUCCAAUUUGUAGAGGGGUGUCAAUUUCUCAAACUCACCAUCAUAUCCCAUUGAAUAAGAUAAGUGCCGACUUUUGUCCAACAUAUGAGAUCCUUUGCUCUCUUCCAACCUGAUACAAAGUUUUGAAGAUGCAAUUUGGGCUAAAUCAUUGACAAGGUCAUGCAUUAAGAAUAAAUUCUCUAUGUUCCCUUCAGAAGGAUUGGGGACCCUUUCGAAUAAUGAUCUUGACCUCAACUCGAGAAAGUAUUGGUUGCCUGAAUCUUCAAUUAUUUCAUCUUCCUGAGGUACGAGACCAUUGGCAAUCCACAGAUGAAUGACUUGUUCUUUCCCAAAUGGAUAAUCUUUAGGAAAUAUUGCAAAAUAGGAAAAAAAUCGCUUUAAAUGUGCAGGAAGAUCAUUGUAGCUCAACAUCAACGCUGGUAAUACGUCAUUGUGUGGCAGCUCCCAUAUUUCACUUCUCAAAAUACGUUUCCACUCUUCAACCUCUGAUUUGGAGCGUAACAUGCCAGCGAGCGUCUUCAGAGCUAAGGGCAGUCCUUUGCACUUAGCUGCAAUUUGUUUUCCGACCUCUUCAAGUUCCGGAUGUCCCAUAGGAUCCAUGUUUUCAAAUGCAUGUCUUUUAAAUAAAGACCAAGAGGCUUCAGUAGACAAAUUGUCCAUGCUAAUUUGCUCAUUUCCCAUUAUCAAGGCAACACUCUCUUUACGUGUCGUCACAAUGAUCUUACUUCCUAUAUCUCCUUGUACAAAAACAUUUCUCAAGUCAUCCCACGCGUUGUAGUUGUCAUUCCACACAUCGUCCAGAACAAGAAGAAACUUCUUUCCCUUUAAUCUUUCCUUUAAUUUGACUUGUAGCUGGUUAAGAUUGUCAUCAACCUUCAAGUCAGUUGAGCCAAUUUCUUGAAGUAACCCUUUUGUUAUUCUGAAAGCAUCAUAUGCCUCAGAAACACAAAACCAAGCUUUCAAAACAAAAUGUUUCUGCACUCUCUCAUCAUUGUAAACCGCUUUAGCAAGUGUUGUCUUACCCAGGCCGCCCAUUCCAACAAUAGGAACUACAGUCAGCUUCUUUCCACUUGCAUCUUCAGAUAAUAACCGGUCAAUCAAAUCCUUUAUAUCAUUCAUCCUUCCAAAGAUAUCAGAAUCAUCAACCAAAGAAGUUGAAGGUGUUCUAGUUUCUUGUUUAGUCGAACCAAAAUGCUCCUUUAAGCCAAGGCGACCGAUUUGCUUUUCCAACACCUCCAAUGUUUCAAUGGUUUCUUCCAACUUCUCCUUUGUGUUAAGGAAAAAUUCAUCAGUCAAGCACAGGUUGAGGUCACUUACUUGUUUGUUGCUUGUUUCUGCAAGAUUUUGAUGCUGGCCUUCCACCUUAAGCCUCAAAGCUUCAUAAUUGACUUCUUCUAUCAAGUUUUCAGCGCCGUCCACAGCAUUUUGAAGCUUAUUGAACCACUGGCUCACGUGUCGAUUUGAUGCUUGCUUAUUCUCUGCAUCACUUAGCACAAUCUGAAGACCAAGCAAAAUGUCCUCCAGCUUGUGUAAGAGCUGAACAUGAUCCUUAUGCUUCCGAAACAUGUUGAGAAGAUCACCGUGAGGAGCAAGCCUAUCAAAGAGAACAUUCAAAGCUGAAGAGAGAAAUGCACCACCAACUGCUAACCCAAUCUCCAUUUCUGAAAUCUGCAAGCAAAACAAGGAACACAAAAUGAUUUUAAGAAGAUAAAUGUUCAAAUUUCAAUUACUAACAACUUUAUUUUACCUGUUGAAUGCUAAGAACUAAGAGUGAUAUGUAAUCAAGAAUGAUCUUUCUCCCUCUCUUUUGCUUGUAAUUGGUAUAACUAUGUUUUAUCUACAGUCUGCAGCUCACAGCCACAGAAAAAAUAGAGUAGCAAAAAAUUAUGGAGUCUGCCCGUCUGGAAUUCAAUAAUUGAAGCAAGAGAGGAAAGGUACUUAGGGUGGGGCACUCCAAAGAAUAUUGUGGUGUUCUAUCACAACGUUUUCUAAAGAAAUAUCGUAUAAAAUGGAACAAUUUUUGUUUUGAAAUUUUAAUCUAUGUUUGUUGAUAAUUUACAGUUUACUUAUAGAGUGUAAAUGAAUUCUGGAUAUAAUACCAAAGCUAAAUCGAUUCUUCAAAAAAUAGAAAACAUUAGGAAAAAUGCCUUCAUAGUAAAAGUUACCUAUGUUGCUUGGAUUCUUUAAAAACAUCUUUGGGUAUGUAUCCGAUACUCCAAAAGCUUUGCAUUUUUUAAAGAUCCAACACAAAUCCGGUAAUACCUUUGAAGGGUCUUAGCAACAUAGGUGACAACUUUGGAAAAAUUUACUAUAAUACACUAUAUAUGUAAUGUUAGAAGCUGAUAGAUUAGAUUGAAAUACUGGAUUAUAACUAUACCUUGCAUUGUCUAAAGAAAAUAUCUUUCCUAUGUGCACUCAACUAAUAGUUGUUACCUCAGAAAGUCACUUUCUUUGUCUAAAGAAAAAAGUAUUUCGAUUAUUUUUUAUAAAUAUCAAAUACCAUACCGAAUACCAAACUUGAAAAGCGUAAUAACUACGAGAUAAGUCUCUAAAAUUGUGAUGACAUAAAAAGUUGAGGUAACGAAUGGUCAUUACAAAGCAAACUGAUUAUAAGCUGAAGUGAAAUCCUAAAAACUAGUCCAGCACUGAGGCAAAUGACUCUGUUUGCUCUGUUCCAUUUGAGUCGUUAUGCACGAGAGACAUUGCAUAAUAAUCUACUGUGAACUGAAGAGGCACUCUUGUGUAUCGAGAAAAUUCUCAAAAAAUGAAUAUGUUUUCUGAGCCUGAUUUCAAUCUCCAAUCUGAAAGCAGAUGGACAAGAAGAGUCGAUUUUUCGUCCUUUGAGGAUCAGAUGUUUGUAUCUCAGUGUAUAAUACUCAGUUAAGGGAAUAAAUCUUGAAUGUCAAGGAUAUCAGCUAGGACACCAGCUGCUGUGGUAUCAUUUCCUGCUCCAGCACCUUGGAUAACCAAAGGUUGUUUCUCAUAACAACGGCUGUAUAUCUCCACCUGCAGACAAACAAAUUGCAGACGUUCAAUCAUCAUAGUCAUUCUUCGACAAAAGCAAAUCAUUCAUGUUACUUUUUAUAACCUCACAAGUACAAGGGAAACAUUUUACGAUUAAGGUAGAAUCGAAGACCUUAACUACAUAAAGUUUUGCAGUGCGACGCCAGAUGAUGCAUAAAGAGUAAAGACAAAGUAAGGCGUUCGCCUAGGCAUAGGUAAGGGUGUACAACAGAUGUAUUCAUAUUCUAAGAGAUGAAAAUUAAGUGAUAUCUGCAUCUUCUAAGUGAGAAAAAUAAGCAAUUCUUUGAAAUCACAGCAUGAUGUUUUACAUCACUACACUAAAUGACAUUACAAAAAGGCAUUAAACAAUUAAAAAUGUUUUACCUUGAUAAUCUAAUAACGAUGCGUAUGAUAUGGUUGAACCUCCAUAGCAGUUAAAAGAAAAUUCCCAACGGAAAACAAAGUAAAGGAAUAAGAAGAAGAGGGACCAAACAAACAGCAAAAUGGGAGGUGAAAGUGAACAAUGCAUACCACAUUAUCACUUCCUCUUAAUCUUCCCAAUGCAGAAUCUUUUGAAACUUCUUGGAUGCCAACUUCACAUCUGAAAAUGUGAGAUGUUAAUGUCAUGUACACAAAAGUGUUUUCAAUAAUAAAUUUCUCCCCAUCUAUGCCAUUACAAAUUUAUACUUCUAACUCAUUCUUUAAUUGGUUACGGAUACAAGAGGUGAACAGCUGAUCAGAUGACUAACAUAAAACAGAUGAACUUACAACUGGUUUGCAGAUAGCUCUCAAACUUAAAUGUCCAAGUGGGUGAAUGCUGUCAUAAUUUUCUAAAGCAUUUGUUAAGAGGAAUUGAGACUGUCUUCUAAGAUAAACUUAAUUAGUAGUAAUUGUUAUGCUCAUCACUCAUCAGUACCUUAACUUGCCAUAACACUCCCGUCAGUGAGCAAGCUUUGCUUUAAGCGUCUAGAGGUACAGUGACUUGCAGAACAUGAUAAGAAUAAAAGAUCCAGUUGCCAUUAUCCAUUGAGCAAACUAAAAAUGAAAUGAAAGAAUUACCUCGCAUCAUCAAUCAAGCAAACAUAACGCAGAACAUUCCCAUUUGCAGAAGCUUGUUUAAUCCUAUCUUCAAUUUUCUGAUCAAGUAAGGGAAGGCCAUUCACUAGAAAGUCUUCCAAAGGCAUCACAUCUGGUCCCAUUUCUUCAGGAUACAAGCUUUCAAUCUGAAAAGGGAAUUGCAAAUGCAUCAAGGUUUAUGAAGCUAAUUGAAUUGGUAACAAAACAAAGAGACAUUGUGACAUGUAUCCUAACCUUCAUAUUAUCUAGGUUUAAACGCCGUCCAAGGAGCCGAGCAAGAAUGAGAGCCUGUUAUGAAGACAUCUGUUAGAAUAGGAAUAGGUUUAUACAAUCCUAUUUAGAAUAGGAAUAGGAAUACAAAUAGAAAUAGGAAUAGUAAAUAGUAUCCUACUUGGUAAAGGAUUGUAUUCUAGUGUCUAUAAAUAGGGUCUCAAUGUAAUAAUGUAGACACAACAACAAUUCAAUAAUAUUUUUUUCCUAUAUUCUCACAACAUCAAAACAAAAUGUUGUCAUGAGGGAUGUUCAACUUCUCAAAAUUUACAGAACCAAUUAGAACUAUGAACAUUUCGUGAAAGGUACCGAAAGUUGGAUAAGAUAUGCUUCCCAUCACAAUCUGCGAAAACGAUUCUGCCUAAAUCACUGCUUUUCUGCUCCCCAAAGGCACCAUCAUCCCAAGCACCAAAUAAGGAAAAAUUAUAACAAAGACAUCCAUUCAGCUAAAAUUCCCAUACUCAUAAAUGGACAACAUUCAGCAUAAGAAUAUCACAGAAAAAAUAUACUUCCUGAAAACACUUUCUACAGUGAGUGUGAGUAUAUAGCAGAUGAAACAUUAUGUCUUAAUUAUGCAUACUGAAAGACUACAGGUAAGUUCAGAUAAAAAAGAAAAUAAUUCAGAAUUUGAAAUUCUGCAGGUAAAAAAUUGAAUUUAAAAUUGAAAUAGUUUAAUCAUAAUAGUUUGGCAAUAUAAAUUGAAAUUCUGCAGAAUUUGUUCUUCCCGGUAAAAAACUUUAAUCAGCAUAAUAGUUUGGCAAUAUAAAUGGAUUGAAAUCUUGGACACUGUAAGUUUAAUCAGAAGAAAGAUGUUUCCUAACCUUUCUUGCUACAUCCAUGCCACCUAGAUCAUCCCGAGGAUCUGCAGAUAAGUAUAAAUACAUAAGAAUAACUUCAUACUUCAACUAUCCUAAUGAGAAUUGAGAUGAAGUGUUCAGCGAUUUUUUUUCUUCCAUAAUAUUUGGGAUGGAUGUACGAUUCCUGUUAAUUGCUGCUAGAAAGUAGGCUGUAUCUUGACAAUGCAUUGAAGACAUUGUUAUUUCUUUAUUAGAAAAGAAACUAGAAUUUCCUUGGAAAUUUUGGAUGGCUCCAAAUUUCUUAUAUAAUCCUGCUGGAAACAGAUUAUGAUCUCCUUGGAUAAAGCACUCUCCUUAAAAAUUUUACUUGCCACAAACAACAUCUUAUGUACUUAGAAGAAAUGUAUGAUGGAUUGUGAACUUAUUGACAUUUCUAUGAAUUUAUAUGGUAAAGCUCCAGUCCUCCACUAGGUUAGGAGGACCCAUCUUAGUGCUUCUUAGUAAUCUCAAGAGAGAGAUAUAGAAGGUUAGUUUUACACUAUCUUAUAGGUGACUAGACCUGAUGAUGCCUUUCCAACUGUUAUUGUGAAUCAAUUUUUGUAUUCGCCAUGUCGUAUUCACUAGAAUGCAAUGAUUUGCAUCUUUUGGGGUAGGAAGCCUGCUCUUGGAAAGGAUUAUCAACAAAAAUAGACAAUCACGAUGCAAAAUGGACAGUGAUACCUUCUUUAUAUACGUUCUAAAUCUAAAUACUAUAAUACUUUCAGUCAAUUGGGCAAUAUAGAAGUAAGAGAAUAUUGGGUCAUGACUAUGGCAACGAUGAGCACAUAGAUUAACAACCACCAAAAGGAUCGAAAACGGUUGCUGUUAGUUUACCACAUUGGUUAAAGGUACCCUUAUAUGAUCUUGGAUUAGCCUUUUGGACUGGGUUAGGCACAAAGUCCAUUUACUUAAUGAUAUCUCACUCAAGUUCAUCCCUAAUGUUUAGUCACCCAAUGUUUAGCCCCUAUGUUAUGUUAUACAUACUCCAUAUGUUCCCCCCUGUGCAAGCAAUAAGAUGUUAGUCUCACUUCAGUUGAGGAUGUAUUGUUGUAAUCUCUUUAUGUGGUCUUCGGCAAUCCUCAUGUCAUGACGUAACUUUUAGGCGUAGUUAAACCCGAAAUACAUUUUUCUCUAACAAUUGAAAUUGAUCACAACAAAACUUGAGUGCGAUAAUCAAGUUAUACUUGUAUCCCAUUGUAUGCAGCAUCUGACAAGAGGACCAAGAAUAUAGAAACCGACUGUCCCUUCACCAAAAAAUGUUUUCACGACACUGUUAUAAAGUUUAGGAAGUCGACUGAUCAGCUUAUAGACAUAUUCACCAAAUCCUAUACAGGUUUACAUGUAUGCACCAGCUAGAGGGGAGAAUCAGACAGCUAAAUGUAAAUAACAAGCGGUAAGUGUAAUAUAGAGUUGUAUCUGCAUGUUCACCACAUUGGGUACAACAACAACAACAUACCCAGUGAAAUCCCACUAGGUGGGGUCUGGGGAGGGUAAAGUGUACGCAGACCUUACCACUACCUCGUGGAGGUAGAGAGGCUGUUUCCGGAAGACCCUCAGCUCAAGUGUAACAAAGCCAAGUAAAGGAAGAGAAUUAUAUAAAGCAUAACAUCCAAUAAGAAAAAUAGUGCAUAAUCAACAAAGGGGGCAAUACAUCAAGAAAAUAAUGCGAGAAGUGAAACGCAGUAAACAACAUAAGGCAAUAGGGAUCACAUACAAGAACUACAAGUGUACGGCUAAGACUCCUACAAACGCUAACAACCCAUACCCUCGCCAGGAAAGACAGCACGCUAACCCUACUAGCCUUCAACCUUAAUACGUGACCUCCACUCCUUCCUAUCUAGAGUCAUGUCCUCGGUAAUGUGUAGCUGGGCCAAGUCCUGUCUAAUCACCUCUCCCCAAUACUUCUUGGGCCUACCUCUACCCCUCCGCGUACCCUCUACUACCAGCCCCUCGCACCUCCUCACUGGGGCGUCCGCGCCCCGUCUCUUCACAUGUCCAAACCAUCUCAGUCUCGCUUCCCUCAGCUUGUCCACCACCGAGGCCACUCCCACCUUCUCCCGGAUAACCUCAUUCCUAAUCUUAUCGCUCCUAGUGUGCCCACACAUCCAUCUCAACAUCCUCAUCUCCGCAACAUGCAUUUUCUGAACAUGUGAGUUCUUGACUGGCCAACACUCCGCUCCAUACAACAAGGACGGUCUAACUACCACUCUGUAGAACUUACCUGUUCACCACAUUGGGUAAAUGUAAGAAUAUGCACUGUAAAGUGAGCGUAUAAAAGAAGAAGAAUUCACGUGUAAGACAUUUGUAUCACACAUUCUCUUAAAAGCUUCUCAA